rnacentral:rRNA from 1 species
AUGGACGAGAUAUCGACCAGUGAAAUCGUUGGCGUCCAUGACCCGCGUGCAAUAGAUUUUUACGAUCUACGCGGUUUUGAUGACGCCACAAAGAAAAAGAAAAAAGAACAGCAGAGGAUGAGAGCGGAACGCAUCAAAACCAAGCGCUUAAGCUUAAAAAAGAAACGCUUGAGGAAGCAACGUAAAAGAGAGGAAGCUAAAGCAAUUGUGGACAGGGCCCUCCAGUUAAGAGAAGAGAUGUAUCAAAAGAGGCUCGAAUUUGAGGCAUCGGAAAAGGGCAAGGAGGAGCAGGAGAAGUACCGCAGCACCCCUCCCUGGAGCUGGAGGCCGGCAGUUCCCAUUACUGAAGUCACUAACCAACCACCAGCUUUCGAAUGGGUUCCAUCUUUUGGCGUUGAUGAGUUUGGGAGAAUAUCUGUACUGAAGUGUACAAGUUGGAGAGUCGAGGAAUACACAUUGGAACUUGCUGAGUGUGUGGUUGGACUUCAGUCAUUUACAGAAGACAAGCAUCUUUUCUCUUGCUCUGGAACAAUUGUUGAGUUUCUAAAGGGUGUUGGUCGUGUGGUAACAUCUGCUAGUUUAGUUAAAUUGCCACACCAAGAUGAGAUAGCUGAUAAACUCAAGGUCAAUGUAUGCUUACCAAGCGGAGAAAUACUUGAGGGCUCAGUAUCAAAUGUGGACUUUUGUUACAACAUAUGUGUGGUACAUGUCCGUUCAACUUCGCAGCUGCCAGCGAAAAGGUUCAGUGCGGACACUACAUGUUUCAAUUUCAAUGACUGCCAUUCAAAAGAUGUUGUAGCUUUAGGCCGCCUUUGUAAGCGAUGGAGCUUGAACGUUGCUUCUGGAAAGUUAUCCCCAAGAAGAAGCCAGUUUGAUUGUGAAGAACUUCUUGUUUCAUCUUGCAGAAUUUCAAAGAGAGGUGUUGGGGGUCCUCUGAUGGAUUUUGAUGGAAAUAUCAUCGGAAUGAACUUCUAUGACAAGAAAGAAACCCCUUUCGUUCCAGGUUUCAUCGUGUUGAAGUGUUUGCAACACUUCAAUGAUUUCGGGAGGGUCAUACGACCGUUGCAUGGACUGAGAGUUAAAACUCUUCAUGAAGAACAGCUUACUGUACUUGAGAAGAUACAUCUGGUCUUCCCUGGUGUCUGUGGUGUCAUAGUGGAGAAGGUAGAAGUGCCUUCACCUGAACAUUCUGAGAUAAAGGCUGGGGACAGUGGUGUCAUGGUGGACAAGAUAGAAGUACCUUCACCUGAACAUUCUGAGAUAAAGGUUGGGGACAUCAUCACUCAUGUUGAUGGCAUACCUUUCUCCAGUGCUGCAGAGUUUGGUGGUAUACUGCUUGAUACGUGUGGUCAGCAUAUGCUAGAGAGACAGAAAUUGGGCCUACCGGAGGACUACAACCAGAUGUCAACAGUGAUAAGCCUAAAGUUCGACGUGAAAACACAGAGAGGUCGCAAAUCUGAAAAGACAACCAGAACUAUCAACAUCGACAAGUUUACUCCUAGUGGAAAGUUAAACAGGUGGCCACUUGGGAGAGCUUAUCUUCUUCGCCGUAUUGAGAAUGGAAUCCUGUACACCGAAGAGCGAUAUGGCUAA